GGGGAAUGAGAUUGGACUGCAGCUACCGGCUUAAUGAGGAUCUCCGAGGCUGAGCAACAGAUAACGCAGAAUUUCCUGUUCUUGUCAUGGCUGAGGGGAGGACGGGAGCCGGGGCACGGAGGUCCUCCCCAGCGCCAGGCCUGCGUGCCCUAGUGCCUUGGGGCCCACCGUCAGACUCCUCAGGAUGGGAGAGACGUGUUUCUUGCCUGUCCUACGCACACAGCUGCCUUCUCCAUGGAGGAUUUCCAAGGUACCAGCCUCUGAAACGCUGCAGGCUGCUGCACCAGGCAGACGUCCAUCACCUUGAGCCCACAGAGGGAGGUUAAGGGGGACUUAUUCCGUUUGACCAACUCCGCCAUGUCCUCAGGCCUCCUGAUGGCUUAAAGGAGACUCUUCUCCACUAGGGAUGGUGCCUGUGCGGAAACACACGGAGUCCGUUGAAGUGCCUGAAG